rnacentral:rRNA from 1 species
UACGUAGGGUGCGAGCGUUAAUCGGAAUUACUGGGCGUAAAGCGUGCGCAGGCGGUUCGUUGUGUCUGAUGUGAAAGCCCCGGGCUCAACCUGGGAACGGCAUUGGAAACUGGCGAGCUAGAGUGUGGCAGAGGGGGGUGGAAUUCCGCGUGUAGCAGUGAAAUGCGUAGAGAUGCGGAGGAACACCGAUGGCGAAGGCAGCCCCCUGGGCUGACACUGACGCUCAGGCACGAAAGCGUGGGGAGCAAACAGG